rnacentral:lncRNA from 1 species
GUUGUAUAUUCGAUGGAAUACAAAAAAUGAAAUUAAAAUGUAUUUAUGAACAAUUAAAAUUAGAUGAAAAUAAACAAAAUAAUAAAGAAAAGGAAGGAGAAAAGGGAGAAGAAAGGGGGGGAGAAAAGCGAGAAGAAAAGGGAGGAGAAAAAGAAGGAGAAAAGGAAGAAGAAAAGAUGAUGAAAAAGGAAGUGGAAAAUGAAACUAUUAACUCGGAUAGUAAGAACUGUAAUAUACAACCUGAUGUUAUUAAAGAUUAUAAUUAUAUCUCUGAUGAAUUAAAUUUGGAAAACUCAAAUGAUAAAAAUAACACUAAUGUGAAUGUUGAAAAUGUUACAUUUACCAAAGAUAAUAUGUAUAACACAAGUAACAAUAGCAUAAACAGUAGCAAUAAUAACAUCAGUAGCAGUAAAUGUAACGAAAUUAUUGACAACAAUCAUUUGCAUUCAAAUAAUGAACAUAUAAGUUUAAAUAAAGAAAAGGAUGUUACUCACCCUAUUAAUAAAUUAAAAAAUAAUUUUAAUAAAGUUGUAGUUAAAAAUGAAUCAAACAAUGAUAUAAAAAGUGAAAUAUUAAAUUCAACAUAUUCUACUUAUACUGAUAAAACAAAUUUAUUAACGAAAAAAAAGGAAAAUAUAAAAAAAUAUGUUAUGUCUGAUAAAUAUGAUGAUAAUAGAACAACCGACAUUACCAUUAUCCCUACCACUACAAUUCAUAAUAAUAAUAAUACCUCUUCCAUUAUUGAAAAACAAAAAAAAGAAAUAUCGGAUGAACAAUACACAGAGGAAAAUAUGUACGAUCAAAACAAAAUAUAUAUCAUGCCUAUUUCUUCUGUUGGUGGAGAAACAUCUUAUUCUUUAAUUGGAGUAGUAUAUGUAACAGAACCAUUAACUCUAAUCGAUAGUGAAUUUAAUAAAAAAAUUACAGAAACAAUAAAUAAUAAUAAUAAUAAUAAUAAUAAUAAUAAUAAUAAUGUACAAGAUGCAUUAUAUAUUUCAGAUAAUAAAAAACAAUUGUUAUAUAAUUUUUUAAGUAAA